rnacentral:rRNA from 1 species
CAGCAGCCGCGGGAAUACAGAGGGUGCGAGCGUUAAUCGGAUUUACUGGGCGUAAAGCGUGAGUAGGCGGCUUCUUAAGUCGGAUGUGAAAUCCCUGAGCUUAACUUAGGAAUUGCAUUCGAUACUGGGAAGCUAGAGUAUGGGAGAGGAUGGUAGAAUUCCAGGUGUAGCGGUGAAAUGCGUAGAGAUCUGGAGGAAUACCGAUGGCGAAGGCAGCCAUCUGGCCUAAUACUGACGCUGAGGUACGAAAGCAUGGGGAGCAAACAGGAUUAGAUACCCCUGUAGUCCCUGUCUCUUAUAC